rnacentral:lncRNA from 1 species
UGGUGACCGUUGCCAAAGUGGUCACCAUAGCAACGAAAAGCGAUAACAAUGAAAAUGUCAUAUCAACUUUUUAAUAAAGGAUUGGCUACUCUGAUAGAAG